GAAAGUGGGGGCAACCCCGCAAGUAGAGUGGCGAACGGGUGAGUAACACAUCGGAACGUACCCAGGAGUGGGGGACAACCUCGAGAAAUCGAGGCUAAUACCGCAUACGUCCUGAGGGAGAAAGCGGGGGAUCUGCAAGGACCUCGCGCUCAUGGAGCGGCCGAUCUCCGCUUAGCUAGUUGGCGGGGUAAAGGCCCACCAAGGCUAGGAUCCGUAGCUGGUUUGAGAGAACGUCCAGCCACACUGGGACUGAGACACCCCCCAGAGUCCUACGGGAGGCAGCAGUGGGAUCUUGCAGAAAACUCG
rnacentral:sRNA from 1 species